CAGCAGCCACGGGAAUACGAAGGGGGCUAGCGUUGUUCGGAAUUACUGGGCGUAAAGCGCACGUAGGCGGACAUUUAAGUCAGGGGUGAAAUCCCGGGGCUCAACCUCGGAACUGCCUUUGAUACUGGGUGUCUUGAGUGUGGAAGAGGUAAGUGGAAUUGCAAGUGUAGAGGUGAAAUUCGUAGAUAUUCGCAGGAACACCAGUGGCGAAGGCGACUGACUGGACAAGUAUUGACGCUGAGGUGCGAAAGCGUGGGGAGCAAACAGGAUUAGAUACCCCUGUAGUCCCUGUCUCUUAUAC
rnacentral:rRNA from 1 species